rnacentral:rRNA from 1 species
UACGUAGGGGGCAAGCGUUGUCCGGAUUUAUUGGGCGUAAAGAGCGUGUAGGCGGCUAGGUAGGUCCGUUGUGAAAACUCGAGGCUCAACCUCGAGACGCCGAUGGAAACCAUCUGGCUAGAGUCCGGAAGAGGAGAGUGGAAUUCCUGGUGUAGCGGUGAAAUGCGCAGAUAUCAGGAAGAACGCCCGUGGCUAAGGCGGCUCUCUAGUACGGUACUGACGCUGAGACGCGAAAGCGUGGGGAGCGAACAGG